CAGGUGACUAUAGUGUCCCUUUAAAUGAAGCGACAGUGCCAGGGGACUCAAAGAGGUGAAAUGGUUAUAGUGCCUACAGACAGCAGCUGUCCUGUUUGGAACACUGGAAGCAUCUUGAGAUUUGCCCAUAAGUGCCAGAAGCAAAGCACAGGCUUUACUGUCCCUUUAAUUUUGUCCCAAUGCGGCAUCACUAUGUGCAAUGUCUAUUAUUACUCCAUAGGCUGACAUUUGAAUUAAUGUCUUAUUCUUCAUCCUGUAUUUCAGGGUGUGUGCAUCAUAAAUACUUAUAGUUUAC